AGGGGCAAAUAAUGUUCUAAAUUCCAGAACUUGCCUUAUCUGGUUACCUAACGCAUUCUCGGAGAUAGGCCACAGGAGCAGUUUGUCUGAAGCACAAUCUUAAGGAACACGACAGAACAACCGUGAUCCGGUUUGCUCUUCUGCUUGAAGAAAACAAAGGAAAUGAAAAGAGAGAGAAAAUGAUUUUCAAGAAACAAAGCCAGUUUCCAUCAUAAAUAGCUUCUUGGUGUCAAUAGAUGUGAUGACUUCUUCCCUUCCUGCUUGACUGGAUUUAGAAUUUCUGAAGGGACACCAUUCUAGACAUAUCUGUGAGGGAGUUCACAGAGAAGCUUAACCGAGAAGUCCCACUCUAUAUGUAAGCCAGAGGCCCCAACUGAAUAAAAGUGGGGGAGAAGCAGAAAACCUGGUGAACAUUAACAUUCAUCUCUACUUCGUGAACAUGAAUGCAGUGUGUCCUACCAGGACA
rnacentral:sRNA from 1 species